rnacentral:lncRNA from 1 species
ACAUGAUGAGUUAAAUGGCAAAUGCUAAUGGAAAUAUGACAAGGAAGCCGCAGAUUCCGCUUUAGCUUCAGCUUCAGCUCUGGCUCCAGCUCCAGCUCCUUUAUCCCUCAGGCAUAUGUAAAUAGGAUGCUAAAUGUAUGGGAAGGAUGUGCGCCAUGCGAAUUUAGUGGUUACGGAAGUUGUGCGGCAGUUAAACAUGGCGUCUUGCGAUUUUAUUGCCGUCUUGAAAGUUUGCUUACGCUUUGUGGCAUAAAUGAGCAG